rnacentral:tRNA from 1 species
UCGAGGCAUCACCAGUUGGUAAAUGUACGCUCUUUUAAGGCGUUGGUUCCGGGUUCAAGUCCCGGUCGACCCA